UCAAAAUAUUGCAAAUUUUAACGUACUUUUUGCGGAAGUGAGCGACAUUAAAGAAAAGUUUAAAAAAAAAAUGUUCCUGCGAUGGUGACAGAUAUGCUGAUUCUGAUAAGAACAGUAACAAUGAUGAAAGUCAUGAACACAAUGAAAACAAUGAACUUCAGAAUGCUCGCGAAAAAAUAAUAAAAUUUGAUUUUUCAAUAGACAUCAAAGAAGUUUUUGAAGACUUCAAUAAACGGCUUAAUGAUCCUCAAAAGCCCCAGCCUCGUAAACUCCUGAUUACACGUAUCAGACAACUGAUAAAUGAAAAGGAUACCUUAAAUAAAAAUAUGUCAACAAUUAUAAAAGCUUACAUUACACGAAAUGUAGCUACGUUGUACGUUCCAUCUAAAAAAACUAAUAAGGCUAACCAAAAUAAACCGAUAUUUAAAAUGACUGCUUUUUACAGUUGCAUUGAAGAUGCAAUGCGACAAGUAUUGAAGGGUAAAUUAGGUAAUGAUUUAAGUGAUAAAGAAAUUUUGGAUGCUAUGGCUUCAUCGCUUCGCAAUUCGCGAGACUGGGAUGGUCACCGCUUGUUGAGGACACUAAAACCCAAUCCAACUACUGCUGAGUGAACUAUUUCAAUAUUUACCUACUUUUUUAUUGAUACUUACUUUUUUAUUGAUACCUACUUUUUUAUUGAUAAUGAUUUUAUAAAAACCAACUACA